UAAUACGAAGGGGGCUAGCGUUGCUCGGAAUGACUGGGCGUAAAGGGCGCGUAGGCGGCAUGUACAGUCAGAAGUGAAAUUCCUGGGCUCAACCUGGGGACUGCUUUUGAUACGUGCAAGCUAGAGUGAGGAAGAGGGUUGUGGAAUUUCCAGUGUAGAGGUGAAAUUCGUAGAUAUUGGAAAGAACACCGGUGGCGAAGGCGGCAACCUGGUCCUUAACUGACGCUGAGGCGCGAAAGCGUGGGGAGCAAACAGG
rnacentral:rRNA from 1 species